rnacentral:lncRNA from 1 species
GAAUUGACAGUCUAGACAUGAGAUUGGUAUAUUUUUUAUGGGCAUGACUUGAUGCCCAUGAAAUCAGACAUUGGAUCUCAAAGAGGAGUCCCAAAGUCUGGACCAGCUCAGGACAAGUGCCAGCAAGUAGACCUUCAGCUUCCAAAGCCUCCAAGCCUCUGGAGUUGCCACAGAACAUCCCAGCCUCUCCAAAGAGACUCAAGGAAAGCUUCUUAGCCAGAGUUAUUUCUGUAAAAUGAAGAGAAUAGAGAAUACAACUGAUAUGACCUGAAGAUAGGACACAGCUUCAUCAGACCCUAAUAGCACAAGCCAUAAGCAAAGACUUGAGCAGCAUCAAAAUGAAGCUUCUGUUCAAUGGAAGUAUCCUUUGAUAAGCCCAGCUGGACAGGCAGGGCUAAGGGACCAAGGAAUCAAGUGACUGGAAGAACAUUUGAAGAAGAUCACUUCCUGUUAAGUCCCAAACCUGGGCAAAGCGUAAGGACAGGACCCACACUGAAGAGAGGGCCCUCUGACCUACUCUUCGUCCGUGCCUUCUUCGACAGCUCGAGCCCCUGGUGUGUGCCAGGCACUAUGCUGGGUGUCUCCAUUUCCUCAUCUUGACACGGAUUUUGUGGUCAAUGUCCCGCUAGCCUGAUAAAAUGUGUGCAGCGUGCUCGUGUCUUCUUUAUGCUUUGGAA